rnacentral:snRNA from 1 species
AGCUUUGCGCAGUAGCAGUAUCAUAGACAGUGAUGCUUAUCCGAGCCGUGAUUAUUGCUAAUUGAAAACAUAAAGUUCCUAAAGAUGAUUAAUUUUUUUUCUGUGGUGCUAG